CUCCAGGGCCAGCCUCAGCAGUGCAGGGUGCAGGGUGUGGUUUCUGCCUCCUGCAGUAGCCAGAAGAUCUUGACCGGAGCUGUCCUGUGCCUGUGGUUUGGUCCUUGCCCUGGGCCCUGUGGCCUCCAAGCUGGCUUCAUGAGGGCCCUUGGAGCUUGGUGACCUUCCUACCCUGUCCUUUAACCAGUCCCUUUUCUGCUUCUUGCUGGAGUGAGCUGGGCGGUUUUCUCUGAAUCUGUUCCUGUGCUGGGUUCUCCCUUAGGGAAGGGCACCCUGGGCACCCGACCCCUCAGCCGGAUGCCUAGCAGAUGUUCUCAUGCUUCCACUUCCUUGCCCCUUUAUGUCCAGUGGUCACUCCUUUAUGUCCCUUCCAUGUCCUACAUCUCUCUCUGC
rnacentral:lncRNA from 1 species